AUUGAACGCUGGCGGCAGGCUUAACACAUGCAAGUCGAGCGGGGUGAUGGUGCUUGCACUAUCACUUAGCGGCGGACGGGUGAGUAAUGCUUGGGAAUCUGCCUAUUAGUGGGGGACAACAUCUCGAAAGGGAUGCUAAUACCGCAUACGUCCUACGGGAGAAAGCAGGGGAUCACUUGUGACCUUGCGCUAAUAGAUGAGCCUAAGUCGGAUUAGCUAGAUGGUGGGGUAAAGGCCUACCAAGGCGACGAUCUGUAGCGGGUCUGAGAGGAUGAUCCGCCACACUGGGACUGAGACACGGCCCAGACUCCUACGGGAGGCAGCAGUGGGGAAUAUUGGACAAUGGGGGGAACCCUGAUCCAGCCAUGCCGCGUGUGUGAAGAAGGCCUUAUGGUUGCAAAGCACUUUAAGCGAGGAGGAGGCUCUUUUGGUUAAUACCCAAGAUGAGUGGACGUUACUCGCAGAAUAAGCACCGGCUAACUCUGUGCCAGCCGCCGCCGUAA
rnacentral:rRNA from 1 species